UCAUUUGACGUUAGCUGCAGAAGAAGCACCGGCUAAUUCCGUGCCAGCAGCCGCGGUAAUACGGAGGGUGCGAGCGUUAAUCGGAAUUACUGGGCGUAAAGCGCAUGCAGGUGGUUUGUUAAGUCAGAUGUGAAAGCCCGGGGCUCAACCUUGGAAUUGCAUUUGAAACUGGCAGACUAGAGUACUGUAGAGGGGGGUAGAAUUUCAGGUGUAGCGGUGAAAUGCGUAGAGAUCUGAAGGAAUACCGGUGGCGAAGGCGGCCCCCUGGACAGAUACUGACACUCAGAUGCGAAAGCGUGGGGAGCAAACAGGAUUAGAUACCCUGGUAGUCCACGCCGUAAACGAUGUCUACUUGGAGGUUGUGGCCUUGAGCCGUGGCUUUCGGAGCUAACGCGUUAAGUAGACCGCCUGGGGAGUACGGUCGCAAGAUUAAAACUCAAAUGAAUUGACGGGGGCCCGCACAAGCGGUGGAGCAUGUGGUUUAAUUCGAUGCAACGCGAAGAACCUUACCUACUCUUGACAUCCACAGAAGUUUCCAGAGACGGUUUGGUGCCUUCGGGAACUGUGAGACAGGUGCUGCAUGGCUGUCGUCAGCUCGUGUUGUGAAAUGUUGGGUUAAGUCCCGCAACGAGCGCAACCCUUAUCCUUGUUUGCCAGCGAGUAAUGUCGGGAACUCCAGGGAGACUGCCGGUGAUAAACCGGAGGAAGGUGGGGACGACGUCAAGUCAUCAUGGCCCUUACGAGUAGGGCUACACACGUGCUACAAUGGCGCAUACAGAGGGCGGCCAACUUGCGAAAGUGAGCGAAUCCCAAAAAGUGCGUCGUAGUCCGGAUUGGAGUCUGCAACUCGACUCCAUGAAGUCGGAAUCGCUAGUAAUCGUAGAUCAGAAUGCUACGGUGAAUACGUUCCCGGGCCUUGUACACACCGCCCGUCACACCAUGGGGAGUGGGCUGCAAAAGAAGUGGGUAG
rnacentral:rRNA from 1 species